GCCCCCACCGGGGCUGCAGAUGGCGUCUGAGUGCACAGUGGCGCGUGUGAUUCCGCAGUCUUGGGCUGUUCGGCCAAGUGCCCACCAGACGUGGGGCACUGGAGGGUCAGCAGCGUGGAGUCUGGCUUUCAGCGUCCACGGCUGGGAAAUCGGCCAUCGCCACGGCGGGAACUAGGACUGGCUGCGUCCCGGCCCUUCCCCAUCCGUCCACCGGACUCGUGGGCGCCCGCACUGGCGCUGAUGUAGUUUCCUGACCUCUGACCCGUAUUGUCUCAAGAUUAAAGGUCCAGAUUUUGAACAAAUCUCUCUAGGGAUUGAACAGAGCUGCGCCUGGAUCCUGCCACAGUGAGGAGACCUGAAGACCAGAGGAAGCACAGCAAGUAGGCCCUUUAAACCACUCAUCUGUGUUCUAUUCUAAUUUAUUCUGUUUUAUUUUGUUUCUAUCAUUUUAAGGGGUUGAAAUCAUCUCGUUCAGACCUCAGCAUAUAAAAUGACCCAUCUGUAGACCUCAGGCUCUAACCAUACCCCAAGAGUUGUCUGUUUUUUUUUUUAAAUUACUGCUAGGUUUCAAUUGCAGAUAUCCCUGGAAGGAAUAUUCCAGAUUCCUUGAGUAGUUUCCAGGUUAAAAUCCUAUAGGCUUCUUCUGUUU
rnacentral:antisense_RNA from 1 species